CAAGCAUGUUCAAACCACCACACACCUACACUAUUGCUCACCACCAUCUCUAACACCGGUCCCAAGGAAUUGGAAGCUUUCUUUUGGCCUCUGUAGGCACUGUACAAAUGCAUAUGGCGCAUGUAAGUAGGCACAGAAAGAAGCCGCCAAAGCAAGCCACUCAGUGAGGGAGAGAAGCAGUUUACUAAAAGCAAAAAAACCUGCCAGCUCCUCCCAUAGACAGUGUUGGACAGUGACAGCUGGACCUAGGAUAGUGUAGGACAGUGACUCCCGCAACACUUCUUAGGUGUUAUAUGGAUAUAUGAUAUGUGGGGGGAAGGGGAAUAUCCAGGUGGCUAGUGAGGGGCUCUCAAAUAGUGGGGUACUGCCCUUUCUGCUUAGGGCUGCUCAUCCAGCCUUUAUCAGCUUCUGAGAAAUGCUUUAUGUGUCUACUUUGUAGCAAACCCCAGCCCAGGUGGAACCCUCUUUGUAACUUAACAGCAUGAAGGCAAAACACUGUUCACAAUAACGUAGCAGUAAAGAUGGGAUCUAAACCAAAUGGACGCUGGGAUUGUAUGGCCAUUGCCAUGACAACAGAUGCCCUGGUUCCUGUCACCUAUGCAUGAUGUCACCUCUGGGUUGAGGAGAAAGCUGGAUCCUAAUACCAACAACUGUUGUUUGGGGGUUGCCUGGAUACACAUAAAACGUUGCUGAAAGUAUCAACCCAAGGACAAGUCGUUGAUCCAUCAAGUCCAUGAUGGUGGCACCACAGCACACAGGAGUGGAGUUUCCUCUUUCAGUUCCCUUUAGCCCACAAUCAUCCUCCAGAUUCCAUUGACUUCUGCAGCGGCCACACAG
rnacentral:sRNA from 1 species